rnacentral:rRNA from 1 species
UGGGGAAUAUUGGACAAUGGGCGAAAGCCUGAUCCAGCCAUGCCGCAUGAGUGAAGAAGGCCUUUGGGUUGUAAAGCUCUUUUAGUGAGGAAGAUAAUGACGGUACUCACAGAAGAAGUCCUGGCUAACUCCGUGCCAGCAGCCGCGGUAAUACGGAGAGGGCUAGCGUUAUUCGGAAUUAUUGGGCGUAAAGGGCGCGUAGGCUGGUUAAUAAGUUAAAAGUGAAAUCCCGAGGCUUAACCUUGGAAUUGCUUUUAAAACUAUUAAUCUAGAGAUUGAAAGAGGAUAGAGGAAUUCCUGAUGUAGAGGUAAAAUUCGUAAAUAUUAGGAGGAACACCGGUGGCGAAGGCGUCUAUCUGGUUCAAAUCUGACGCUGAAGCGCGAAGGCGUGGGGAGCAAACA